rnacentral:rRNA from 1 species
UACGGGGAGUGCAAGCGUUGUUCGGAAUCAUUGGGCGUAAAGCGCGUGUAGGCUGCUUGGUAAGUUCGGUGUGAAAGCCCUCCGCUUAACGGAGGAAGUGCAUCGAAUACUGCCAAGCUUGAGUGCGGGAGGGGAGAGCGGAAUUCCCAGUGUAGAGGUGAAAUUCGUAGAUAUUGGGAGGAACACCAGUGGCGAAGGCGGCUCUCUGGACCGACACUGACGCUGAGACGCGAAAGCGUGGGUAGCAAACAGG